GACGAACGCUGGCGGCGUGCCUAAUACAUGCAAGUAGAACGCUGAAGAGAGGAGCUUGCUCUUCUUGGAUGAGUUGCGAACGGGUGAGUAACGCGUAGGUAACCUGCCUUGUAGCGGGGGAUAACUAUUGGAAACGAUAGCUAAUACCGCAUAACAAUGGAUGACACAUGUCAUUUAUUUGAAAGGGGCAAUUGUUCCACUACAAGAUGGACCUGCGUUGUAUUAGCUAGUAGGUGAGGUAAUGGCUCACCUAGGCGACGAUACAUAGCCGACCUGAGAGGGUGAUCGGCCACCCUGGGACUGAGACACGGCCCAGACUCCUACGGGAGGCAGCAGUAGGGAAUCUUCGGCAAUGGGGGCAACCCUGACCGAGCAACGCCGCGUGAGUGAAGAAGGUUUUCGGAUCGUAAAGCUCUGUUGUAAGUCAAGAACGGGUGUGAGAGUGGAAAGUUCACACUGUGACGGUAGCUUACCAGAAAGGGACGGCUAACUACGUG
rnacentral:rRNA from 1 species